rnacentral:siRNA from 1 species
CAACUCGACCUCUCCGUGCUUC